rnacentral:lncRNA from 1 species
UGCUUAUUAAAUACAAAUAAAUCUAUAACUAAGUUAUACAUGAUCCAAUGAGUAUGAAAUAUUUACUAUAGUUUCAGCAUAGAAUAAUUAGUCCACCAUAAAAAUUUCACUACAAUUGGACCACAGAAGCUGCAGCUAUGAAUUAUUUCAAUUAAUUACAGAUAAAAUUUGAUUUUUCUAACUAAUUUAAAGCUACAGAAAAUAUUUGUACUAAAGUAUACCAUAUUAUAUAUUCAUUGCGUAGAUCUACUCAUGUGGAGUCCAACAAAAUUGGAUUUUCUAUUUUAUAAUUUUUCUGUGAUUUACUAUGAUUUUUCAAAGAUUAUAUAAAAACAAUAGAAAAAAAGAAAAAAAGUCAAAACCACGGUUACCGUAGCUGAACCAUUGUUACUGUAGCAAAACCGCCAUAAAAACCACCCAGAGGUGAUUUGAACGGUUUUGAAUAGUUUAGGGGGGGUAAAUUAGACUGUUUCAUAGUUCGGGAGGUAAAGUAGACACCACCCCAUAGUUCGGUGGUGAUGUAGAAUUUUUCUUUUUUAUUUUCAUCUAUAUUUAAUGCUUCAUACAUGUGUCACAAGAUUCGAUGUAACGG